rnacentral:rRNA from 1 species
GACGAACGCUGGCGGCGUGCUUAACACAUGCAAGUCGAACGGAAAGGCCCUGCUUUUGUGGGGUGCUCGAGUGGCGAACGGGUGAGUAACACGCGAGUAUCCUGCCCUUGACUUUGGGAUAACUUCAGGAAACUGGGGCUAAUACCGGAUAGGAGCUCCUGCUGCAUGGUGGGGGUUGGAAAGUUUCGGCGGUUGGGGAUGGACUCGCGGCUUAUCAGCUUGUUGGUGGGGUAGUGGCUUACCAAGGCUUUGACGGGUAGCCGGCCUGAGAGGGUGACCGGCCACAUUGGGACUGAGAUACGGCACAGACUCCUACGGGAGGCAGCAGUGAGGAAUAUUGCACAAUGGGCGGAAGCCUGAUGCAGCAACGCCGCGUGCGGGAUGACGGCCUUCGGGUUGUAAACCGCUUUCGCCUGUGACGAAGCGUGAGUGACGGUAAUGGGUAAAGAAGCACCGGCUAACUACGUG